GAAGGCUCUCACAAGCUGCAUAGCGAAGAGGUGGGUUUCAUCAUCAUCGGAAACUCUCGCCAGAACUAUCUCCGUAGAACUCACUGAUGAAGAGGGCUAUUUUGAGAAUGAUACAGCUGCUGCGGUGAAAGAAAUUUUGUCCGAAUCCCUGGAAGGUGACUUAGCAUCUAUGUGUUCGUGGGGCGAUGAAAUUAAACACCUAUCAUUGGCGAUGGACGAGCCCUCUGUUCUACGUUGACACUCAUGAUUUCAGAUGCAACUAUAAGUAUUGUCGGGAUUUUCAUGACACCCGUGGACACAAAGACCGGUGUGUGACCGGAGCAAUUUUCAAGUACACAAUGCAGUCGGGUAUCAAAGAAUAAAAGUUA